rnacentral:rRNA from 1 species
UACAGAGGUCUCAAGCGUUGUUCGGAUUCAUUGGGCGUAAAGGGUGCGUAGGUGGCGCGGUAAGUCGGGUGUGAAAUUUCGGAGCUUAACUCCGAAACUGCAUUCGAUACUGCCGUGCUUGAGGACUGGAGAGGAGACUGGAAUUUACGGUGUAGCAGUGAAAUGCGUAGAUAUCGUAAGGAAGACCAGUGGCGAAGGCGGGUCUCUGGACAAGUUCCUGACACUGAGGCACGAAGGUCAGGGGAGCAAACGGG